CCUACGGGGGGCAGCAGUGAGGAAUAUUGGUCAAUGGGCGCGAGCCUGAACCAGCCAAGUCGCGUGAGGGAAGACGGUCCUAUGGAUUGUAAACCUCUUUUGUCGGGGAGCAAAAAGGCCCCGUGAGGUCACAAGUGAGAGUACCCGAAGAAAAAGCAUCGGCUAACUCCGUGCCAGCAGCCGCGGUAAUACGGAGGAUGCGAGCGUUAUCCGGAUUUACUGGGUGUAAAGGGUGCGUAGGCGGCCCUGCAAGUCAGAAGUGAAAUCCAUGGGCUUAACCCGUGAACUGCUUUUGAAACUGCAGG
rnacentral:rRNA from 1 species